rnacentral:rRNA from 1 species
AACGAACGCUGGCGGCAGGCUUAACACAUGCAAGUCGAACGCACCUUUCGGGGUGAGUGGCAGACGGGGGAGUAACGCGUGGUAAUUUACCCUUCUCUACGGUGUAUCUCCGGGAAACUGGAAUUAAUACCGUAUACGUCCUUAGGGAGUAAGAUCUAUCGGGGCAGGAUGAGCCCGCGUUGGAUUAGCUAGUUGGUGGGGUAAAGGCCUACCAAGGCGACGAUGCAUAGCUGGUCUAAGAGGAUGAUCAGCCACAUUGGGACUGAGACACGGCCCAAACUCCUACGGGAAGCAGCAGUGGGGAAUAUUGGACAAUGGGCGCAAGCCUGAUCCAGCCAUGCCGCGUGAGUGAUGAAGGGCCUAGGGUUGUAAAGCUCUUUCAGUGGGGACGAUAAUGACGGUACCCACAGAAGAAGCACCGGCUAACUUCGUG